GUACGUCUCAGGAUACAGGAAAUACGGUAAGAGCGAAACAGGAGGAAGCCAGCUCUGUGCCUGGAGGGGACCCGCCGCCAUCUCAGGUCUCUUGGUUUUGCCAGGGCCCACCGGAGAAAACUGACGACCCGUUUCUGUAAUCCUUAUGGGAGACCAACCUUGUGCCUCCGGGAGAUCCACUCUCCCACCUGGAAACGCACGGGAAGCCAAGCCUCCAAAAAAGCGCUGCCUCCUCGCUCCGCGUUGGGAUUAUCCGGAAGGAACUCCCAACGGAGGUAGUACCACUCUACCCUCCGCACCUCCUCCUGCAUCAGCCGGCCUGAAGUCGCACCCUCCUCCUCCGGAGAAGUAGAGAAAUAAAUUUCUCCCACCUUAAACCAGUCUUUGAGCGAUUGCAGUAUGACUCCAUUUCCCUGGUGCAUUCAUGUAAUAGUUCACCUGGUGAAAACAAUGAAGAUUAUUUACAAUGCUACCCUGCUUUUUCUGGUGUCCUGCACCUGGAAGUUGUGCUUUUUAAGGAGCAGGAGACGUGAAACUGGGAGAAGGCCAAAGGAAGGGCAAAGACUGGCUACCUAAACGUCUUAUGAUGUAAUCAGCGUGAUUUCACUUCCUGAAUUUCGAUGAAUUCUAAGACAUGGGCAAGAUCGGUUUGUAAGACCUCUGAGAUUUAAGGCCAUGGCCUGGAUCAUGGUGAACUUACCAAAGCAAAUAAUGCCUGUGAGAUGGUCCUGCAGCAGCCAACCAGUGCGCUCUUUUGGUGACAUCCAGUUCUUGUUGUAUAACUUUAUAUUCCUAUAAAUCCAUUAAGGCCCCAAUAAAGUUUGUCUCUAA